GGGAGGCAGCAGUGGGGAAUUUUGGACAAUGGGCGAAAGCCUGAUCCAGCAAUGCCGCGUGCAGGAUGAAGGCCUUCGGGUUGUAAACUGCUUUUGUACGGAACGAAAAAGCUUCUCCUAAUACGAGAGGCCCAUGACGGUACCGUAAGAAUAAGCACCGGCUAACUACGUGCCAGCAGCCGCGGUAAUACGUAGGGUGCGAGCGUUAAUCGGAAUUACUGGGCGUAAAGCGUGCGCAGGCGGUUAUGUAAGACAGAUGUGAAAUCCCCGGGCUCAACCUGGGAACUGCAUUUGUGACUGCAUGGCUAGAGUACGGUAGAGGGGGAUGGAAUUCCGCGUGUAGCAGUGAAAUGCGUAGAUAUGCGGAGGAACACCGAUGGCGAAGGCAAUCCCCUGGACCUGUACUGACGCUCAUGCACGAAAGCGUGGGGAGCAAACAGGAUUAGAUACCCUGGUAGUCCACGCCCUAAACGAUGUCAACUGGUUGUUGGGAAUUAGUUUUCUCAGUAACGAAGCUAACGCGUGAAGUUGACCGCCUGGGGAGUACGGCCGCAAGGUCGAAACUCAAAUGAAUUGACGG
rnacentral:rRNA from 1 species